CCACUCUGGCUUCUCUUCAGCGCAUGAUUCUUUCGCCUUUUACUAAAGAAUUCCGUGGAGGGGAGCAUUUCAAUGAGUCUUUAACAAUUUUUCUUUACCCGAUUUCGGUCGGGCU
ensembl:snRNA U5 U5 spliceosomal RNA